rnacentral:rRNA from 1 species
AAUAGAUACCCUGGUAGUCCACGCCGUAAACGAUGAGUGCUAAGUGUUAGGGGGUUUCCGCCCCUUAGUGCUGCAGCUAACGCAUUAAGCACUCCGCCUGGGGAGUACGGUCGCAAGACUGAAACUCAAAGGAAUUGACGGGGGCCCGCACAAGCGGUGGAGCAUGUGGUUUAAUUCGAAGCAACGCGAAGAACCUUACCAGGUCUUGACAUCCCACUGACCGCUAUGGAGACAUAGUUUUCCCUUCGGGGACAGUGGUGACAGGUGGUGCAUGGUUGUCGUCAGCUCGUGUCGUGAGAUGUUGGGUUAAGUCCCGCAACGAGCGCAACCCUUGAUCUUAGUUGCCAUCAUUUAGUUGGGCACUCUAAGGUGACUGCCGGUGACAAACCGGAGGAAGGUGGGGAUGACGUCAAAUCAUCGUGCCCCUUAUGACCUGGGCUACACACGUGCUACAAUGGACGGUACAAACGGUUGCCAACCCGCGAGGGGGAGCUAAUCCGAUAAAACCGUUCUCAGUUCGGAUUGUAGGCUGCAACUCGCCUAC